rnacentral:misc_RNA from 1 species
CUUCAAUCCAUUUACCCAUUCUCAGCCACCCCUCCUAAUCUAGCCCUCUCUUAUCUACUUUCAAACACCACAACUCUCCUUUUCCUCUUCUUCUUCAGCUUCACAUUACCAUCACCCCAACUUCACACUUCUUCUUCUUCACAUUACGCCGCACCAUCAUCACUGUCCAAUCAUCGCUAAUGCUUCAUCUUCGAUCUUCGCACUCAAAUUCCAAAAGUAUAAAGUCAAGAUGCUGUUUAAAUUUGAGAUCUGGGUAUCGUUUAGCCGAGAAACUCUUCAAAUAGUGCUCUUGGCUUAACCUUUUUGGGCUUUGAAGAACAUCAACUCUGUACUGUCAACGAAAUUUGAUGGAAAUUCGGUUUAUUUUUUUUAUUUGUUGAAUUUGUUGCAAUGAUGUAGCUAUUUAUAUUGUGUUUGCUUUUUUAUUUGUAGUUUCAUAUUAGUGUUAUGAAUAUGUAUCUUAUUAAUUUCUUAAUUUCUUUGAUUUGUUGAAUAUGUUUGCUUUUUUAUGUGUUAAUUUGUUAUGAAUGAUUUGUGUAAUUGUAUUUGU